GAUUGGGCAUCGCCAUUUGGAUCAGAUUCACAUUUGUUCCAGGUGGUUCCUUCUGAGUCACAUGCUGAAAGUAGCUGCCCGGACAUGUUAUCCAUGGUGGACUGCCGAAGCACAGAGGCCAGAUGAAGUCACACAGGGUUUUAGCCCUUGCAGCAAUCCUGCAUCGGCCUACUAAGUGCAAGGAUUACAAGUGUGAGCCUCCACACCUGACAUAAUUCUUGUUUUCCAACAAUUGAAAUCAGUUCCAAGUUUGAGGCUUCCUGACCAGAGCAACAUGAAGUCCUCCUGCACAGAGAGCUUCUGCAGUCUAGGAGUGUUGUGUUUGGGGAAAGUGUUUACAGGUGUUCUCACUUUGUAAUUAUUAGUUAAGCAGUACAUUAUGAUUGGGGAAAUUGUAAGGGGUUCAUAUGUUUAAAGGUUUUAAAAAUAAAAUGGGAAAACCAAAAGAAAUCCAAAAAUGAACCAACUCUUAAGAGAAUGGGGAGAGGUUAACAUAAAUCCAUCACCGGGUCAGCUGUGAGGAGAAUUUGCAGCCGUUAUGGGACUGUGAAGACUGGUCUGACCAAAAUUAGAAUGUCACAGUAAAGAAGUAGUGAUGGAAGUGUGGGUGUAUUAGCAUCUGUAACAGGAUAAGCAAUUUAGAAGCACUCAACACUUUUUAUGAGAAGCAAAUAAUAACUAAAAUUGAAAAAUCAACAAUUAGUUCUCUAUGCAUGUUGUUUUGAUAUUUUUAUUGUUAACAUAGUAGAACUAUGUACUUGUAACAGGUAUUGCUCUGGUUUAAACAUAUAUUAAAUUUUAAUAAAUGGAUAUUUAUUUUGAA